CGAUACAUUCAAAUUGACGAAGAUAGAAAACGUAUUUAAUGGUUUUAAACCAAUUAAAAAAAUUGAAAAAAAAACAAAAUGAUUCGAUAAAUUUCAUAUCUAGGAAACAAUUGACCGAUUUUGCAGCCCCAGAAAAUGUCCAGCAAAAAUUUUCGGCUUUUUGGCAAACAUAUACGAAAGAAGAAAGAAGAGUAAAAAACACAAUGACCAAAAUUAAUGAUAUCUAUUCGCAAUCACCAGGGGCGGCCGAGGUGCCUGUGCAAACUGUGCACAGCACAAGGCCUCGCGCUGUUUUCGCCCUUUCCGCGGUUGCGGAAAGGGCCUCGCAGCUUCAAGUUUUUAAGCCAUUUUUGCACAAGGCCUCGCGAUUUUCUCGGCCGGCCCUGUCAAUCACAACAACUUGAUGAAGACCAAUAUAAUGAAUUGGUAGCACAUGCCUCGACUAUUUAUUUAAAAAUGAUAACGAUGAUCGAAAGAAAAAUUUAGCUCAUCAAAAACGACAAAAAACAUCAAAAAAUGUUGAUGACUAAUAUAUCGAUCGGCGACGCAUGGCAAUUAUUAUUAUAAUAAUCUAUCAGAACAAGCCGUAUCAUAAAUAACAGUUACCGGAAAAUUGUUAAUAAAAAUUGCACAAUGAAUGGGUUGUAGGUCAAAACGCCGAAAACAAAAACCCCGAAAACCGAAACCAAAUGCCCGAAAACAAAAACCCCGAAAAAAAAUUAUCCCGAAAAAAAAUUAUCCCGAAAACAAAAACCCCGAAAACAAAAACGUAGAAAAUGGCUUGUUCCCUUAAACUUUAAAUGAACGAAGAUUAACACUAUUACUGUGAGAAAUUUCAUGUACCGGAUUCUACGAAAAGAAGUCAUUAGAUCUAGUAAACGGAUGAACGAAUGAAAAUAAAAUCUUCACUGAAUUAUCUAGCUAGAUCCAGGAAAACAUUUUUCUAACACGAUCCAUCCAGCCACAUGAAAUAUGAUCAAAAAAAGAAAUUUUUUUAAUCGAUUUUAUUACAUUUUUUUUGUUUUCAAAGAAUAGCCGCAAUUAGAUUAUUUUUUCAUACACAUUGAGAACAAUAAACAGUGGUUGAUCAUAAUCAA